rnacentral:rRNA from 1 species
GGCGACUUCGUCCUCGGGGAUGCAUCUAGAUUAGAGUUUGAUCCUGGCUCAGGACGAACGCUGGCGGCGUGCCUAAUACAUGCAAGUCGAGCGAACCGAUGGAGUGCUUGCAUUCCUGAGGUUAGCGGCGGACGGGUGAGUAACACGUAGGCAACCUGCCUGUACGACCGGGAUAACUCCGGGAAACCGGAGCUAAUACCGGAUAGGAUGCCGAACCGCAUGGUUCGGCAUGGAAAGGCCUUUGAGCCGCGUACAGAUGGGCCUGCGGCGCAUUAGCUAGUUGGUGGGGUAACGGCCUACCAAGGCGACGAUGCGUAGCCGACCUGAGAGGGUGAACGGCCACACUGGGACUGAGACACGGCCCAGACUCCUACGGGAGGCAGCAGUAGGGAAUCUUCCGCAAUGGACGAAAGUCUGACGGAGCAACGCCGCGUGAGUGAGGAAUGUCUUCGGAUCGUAAAACUCUGUUGUCAGGGAAGAACCGCCGGGAUGACCUCCCGGUCUGACGGUACCUGACGAGAAAGCCCCGGCUAACUACGUGCCAGCAGCCGCGGUAAUACGUAGGGGGCAAGCGUUGUCCGGAAUUUAUUGGGCGUAAAGCGCGCGCAGGCGGCUUCUUUAAGUCAGGUGUGAAGCCCACGGCUCAACCGUGGAGGGCCAUCUGAACUGGGAGCUUGAGUGCAGGAGAGGAGAGCGAAAUUCCACGUGUAGCGGUGAAAUGCGUAGAGAUGUGGAGGAACACCAGUGCGAACGGCGGCUCUCUGGUCUGUUACUGACGCUGAGGGCGCGAAAGUGUGGUGGAGCAACGAGGAUUAGUAUUCC